GGGUUAUACGCUCUGCUUAGCUUCAGCCAUGUUGGCCUCACUAAAACUUAAUCCACAGUUAUUUAAGUGGAAAUUUUCAGAAAAUCCAUUUCAGAGCAAAUGUUACGUGAGAGUCUAAAUGAGCCACUGCCCUCUGUUUGAUUGAAUAUCAGGUGCCCUGAUCAUAUUUGCCAGUGGGUCAGAUUCCUCUAAGAUGUAACAGCUGUGUAAAGGAACACAGGCUACAACCUUUGCCAGAAAGACUGUCGCCAAAGUCAUCUGACCAUCAGAUCUGGAGGUGUGAGACAGAAGACAAGUGUGAGGACAACCGGGAACAGGAGGAGUAAGGCUACUCAAGUAAGAAGCUACCAGUCCUCGUCCCCUGACA
rnacentral:lncRNA from 1 species